rnacentral:rRNA from 1 species
AAUAGAUACCCGGGUAGUCCUGGCCGUAAACCAUGAGCACUGGGUAGGGGGCUCGCCGAUGGGUCCCCUGCCGCAGCGAAAGCGUGAAGUGCUCCGCCUGGGGAGUAUGGCCGCAAGGCUGAAACUCAAAGGAAUUGACGGGGGCUCACACAAGCGGUGGAGCAUGUGGCUUAAUUCGAGGCUACGCGAAGAACCUUAUCCCGGGCUUGACAUGCACGGAUUAGCCUCCUGAAAGGGAGGUGACGCCUUCGGGUGGAACGUGCACAGGUGCUGCAUGGCUGUCGUCAGCUCGUGCCGUGAGGUGUUGGGUUAAGUCCCGUAACGAGCGAACCCCUGCGACCAGUUGCCAUCAUUAAGUUGGGGACUCUGGUCGGACCGCCGGCGUCAAGCCGGAGGAAGGCGGGGACGACGUCAAGUCAUCAUGGCCCUUAUGCCCGGGGCUGCACACGUGCUACAAUGGGCCGGACAGAGCGUCGCCACUGCGCAAGCAGGAGCCAAUCGCAGAAACCGGCCCCCAGUUCGGAUUGUGGG